UACAGAGGGUGCGAGCGUUAAUCGGAAUUACUGGGCGUAAAGCGUGCGUAGACGGUAGCGUAAGUCAGAUGUGAAAGCCCCGGGCUCAACCUGGGAACUGCAUUUGAGACUGCUCUGCUCGGGUGCGGAAGAGGGAAGCGGAAUUUCCGGUGUAGCGGUGAAAUGCGUAGAUAUCGGAAGGAACACCAGUGGCGAAAGCGGCUUCCUGGGCUGUAACUGACGCUGAUGCACGAAAGUGUGGGGAUCAAACAGG
rnacentral:rRNA from 1 species